AGAAAGAAGAAGGGCUAAUCCUGGAACCUGUUGUCGAUCAUCUCGGCUGAGACAUGAGUGCAUCAUCUCCGCCUGAUGCCACCGCACCAGGAAAAUCAUGCGGCACGGGAACAAUUGACGAAGGCAUUCCCAAGGAGCUAGAAGGCAUCUUUGAUAUCAUCGAGCAAAGCAAGGGCCAGAUGCUCGCGUGGCUAAAGGAUUUGGUUGCCAUCCCCAGCGUGUCAGCCGAGAAGGAACACCGCAAAGACAUCAUGCACGUCAUCAAAG
rnacentral:lncRNA from 1 species